AUGCGACAAGGAUGCAGGCGGAGCAUGCGGCCUGAAUGCAGGCGGAGCAGGAGGAGGAGGACACAUGAAUGGCCUCGGAGCAGGCGGCAGGAUGAGGUCGAGAUCAAGUAUGAUCAUCAUUUUGAAGACGACCUUACUUGGAUAUCAACAUGGAUCCAUCAUGUUUUGUCAUGCCAAACUCAGGUCCUCACUGUCAAGUUCCCUUUGCCAGUGUACGUGCCCCGCUAUUUGGAUGGCCCUCCUCUGGUCUCCCGGUAUUUAAGAAGAUUAGAGAUUUCUGAAGCGAGGUUGAAGAGCAACUUCCUAAAUUUUUCAAGCUGUUCAACACUGGAGGAUCUAAAGAUAAAAGACUGUGACUUAGAUGCUAGUAGCAUCCUGUCCCAGUCUGUAAAGCAUCUGAGCAUCAAGGAUUGUUUUUUCAAGGAUGAUGUCCGGAUUAAUAUUUCUGUUCCAAAUCUUGUUUUGCUGCAACUCAAAUCAUGUGGAGGUAGAACCCCAUUUCUCGAAAGCAUGUUGUCAUUAGAAACCGCAGUUGUCAGUUCUGAAAUCUGGUCAGUGGAUUACUGUCAUAAAGGUUUUUUUGCUGGGGAGUGUUGUGGUACUUGUCUGGAUUGCUGUGGUAAUGAUGGCCUCAAGGGUCGUUGCGUACUUCUUGGAGGUCUGUCUCGUGCUAAAAACUUGGAGUUGAUAGCUCAUCCGGGAAUGUUUAUUUUCAAAAGGGAUUUGAGAUGGUGCCCUACAUUUAGUAAGUUAAAGACAUUGUUGCUGAACGAGUGGUGUGUGCAACCUGACCUCUGUGCACUAGUAUGUAUGCUUGAACAUUCGCCGGUUCUUGAGAAUCUGACACUUCAAUUGCGUAAGCAAGAAAAACGCACAUGUUCAGUGGAAGUGGAAGAAAAUGCUCGUUUGAUGGAGAAACCAGCGGCUAUUUCAGGAUACCUAAAGAUUAUCAAAGUCAAAUGUGAAGAGGUUGAUGGCAGAGUUUGCAAAGUUCUGAACUUUUUGAGUACAUUUGGCAUUGAAUUACUAUCCAAAGGACCAAGGGAUAGUUGGAGAAAGUUCGUAAUAUUAUUCACCGUAGAAUCGGGGAAGACGAACAUCAUCUUAGCGCCGGUCAUUGGGUUUGUGCCUCUCGUCGACUGUCCAGCAGCAUAUGGAGCAUUUGAUUGGAUGAGUUUGGUAUUCGUGGAUGCAUAUUUUAACAGUCUCUCGUCUGAAUACCACCGCAAACACCUUCUGGCAGAUUUAUAUGAACUAAACAUGCCUUCCUUCAGCAGUUCAGCUGACGAAGCCGCAAACAUGCGCUUCCCGUCGAGGAAAAGUGGUCAGAGGGGGUUCCCGAGCACCUUUCGGAAUUGGAUCACCGCCCUCUUAUGCACCUCCUCCUCGCGGGUUCUCCUCAACGGCAUCCCCGGCAGCCCCAUUGCCCAUGGAAGCGGCUUCCGGCAAGGGGAUCCUCUUUCGCCCCUGCUAUUUGUCAUUGCUAUUGAUCCCCUUCAAAAGAUCCUCGAGCUGGCUACUAGGAAGGGUUUGCUUCACAAAAUCCGGGGUCGUGGGCCCGUCAUGAGAACAUCCCUGUACGCCGAUGACGCGGCCGUUUUCAUUGCACCCAUCAAGAAAUAUAUUGACAACCUCUCUGUGUUGCUCGAUGCGUUUGGUGAUGUCACGGGACUAUGCACUAACUUCUAG
rnacentral:rRNA from 1 species